rnacentral:sRNA from 1 species
CCGGACGCGAUCUUUCGGUCCGGCGUCACCAGAGGGCACCGGCUCGGUAUCCGGUGUUCCUCGUGCUCAGAUUGCUCAUGAGGAGGAUUUGGAUAUGAGGA